rnacentral:rRNA from 1 species
ACGUAGGUGGCGAGCGUUAUCCGGAAUUAUUGGGCGUAAAGGGAGCGCAGGCGGGAAACUAAGCGGAUCUUAAAAGUGCGGGGCUCAACCCCGUGAUGGGGUCCGAACUGGUUUUCUUGAGUGCAGGAGAGGAAAGCGGAAUUCCCAGUGUAGCGGUGAAAUGCGUAGAUAUUGGGAAGAACACCAGUGGCGAAGGCGGCUUUCUGGACUGUAACUGACGCUGAGGCUCGAAAGCUAGGGUAGCGAACGGGAUUAGAUACCCCGGUAGUCCUAGCCGUAAACGAUGGAUACUAGGUGUGGGAGGUAUCGACCCCUUCCGUGCCGGAGUUAACGCAAUAAGUAUCCCGCCUGGGGAGUACGGCCGCAAGGUUG